rnacentral:rRNA from 1 species
UACGUAGGGUGCAAGCGUUAAUCGGAAUUAUUGGGCGUAAAGGGUGCGUAGGCGGUUUGUUAAGACGGAUGUGAAAUCCCUGGGCUUAACCUGGGAACUGCAUUUGUGACUGCAUGGCUGGAGUGCGGCAGAGGGGGAUGGAAUUCCGCGUGUAGCAGUGAAAUGCGUAGAUAUGCGGAGGAACACCGAUGGCGAAGGCAAUCCCCUGGGCCUGCACUGACGCUCAUGCACGAAAGCGUGGGGAGCAAACAGG